GGGUCGAUGAUGAGAAACAUUGUCCUGAAGGGAGGUGAUGACUUAAAAAUCAUGCUCAGUAGGAUUACGCUGAGGCCC
ensembl:snoRNA SNORD115 Small nucleolar RNA SNORD115